UGUGGGAGCGAGCUUGCUCGCGAUGAGGUCGGCACAUUCGACAUCUCUUUGACUGGGCCACCGCUAUCGCGAGCAAGCUCGCUCCCACA
rnacentral:misc_RNA from 1 species